rnacentral:rRNA from 1 species
UACGUAGGUGGCAAGCGUUGUCCGGAAUUAUUGGGCGUAAAGGGCGUGUAGGUGGAUUCUUAAGUCGUGUGUCUAAGUGCGGGGCUCAACCCCGUAUGGGCGCAGGAAACUGGGAAUCUUGAGUGCAGGAGAGGAAAGUGGAAUUCCCAGUGUAGCGGUGAAAUGCGUAGAUAUUGGGAGGAACACCAGUGGCGAAGGCGACUUUCUGGACUGUGGCUGACACUGAGGCGCGAAAGCUAGGGGAGCGAACGGG